ACGUUUUGUGCAGGGGUCCGAAGUUAUUGACCGACUUUAGUGUAAUCCGAGCUCCACUGACAUUCAAUGCCCUCCGAGGAAAUAUGGCACCAUCUGAUAAAUGAACCAAAAGAGCGGCAAACAUAACUGUUCACACUUGAAGGGAGGGAUUUUUACAUAUAUCCAAAGAUUUUACAGCUGCAAUUAAUCAGUUGAUUGAUUCUAUAUAUACCCACCGGUGGAAUUAUGACUUGGCUGCCACGCUGCCUACUUAAAUGCAAGUAUUGUUAAGUCCCGAAAAAGAAAGAAUUGAUAAAUUAACUUGAACUCUCCGCACACGCGCAGCCGUUAAUUAUACGCCAUGUAUAUCAGUCGACGUUCCUGUUUUUUGCGCCUUUUGUUGAUUGUCGAGUGCUUUUCGUGUCGUGUGAUUGUUAUAUUCUUAUUCUGACGAAUGCAAUGAACCCGGCUUGUUUAUUUAAAAAUAAAAAUACAAUUUGCAAAAAGUAAAGAACGCAGAACAGAAAUCGAAUCAACAAACAAAA